CUCCUUUUCUCCUCAAGUUGGCGCCGCAAAAGCCUCUCGCCUCGAAGGAUUUCUUCUCCUCUGCCUCGCCGUCCGCCCGCUGUUCCCCACUACCGUCCGCGCGAAGGGAGACAAGGCGGCGACGAAGAGAGCCACCCCUCCUCAGAGGAUGGUCGCGCUCGCGCAGCCACCUUCCGCGGUCAAGGGACCCAAAGGAGAGGCCGAGAGGAAACGGAGCGACGCACAGGGAAGAGGAGGAAACGGCGGCGGCGGUGCAGGUGGCGGGGGUGGAGGUAGAGGGAAGAAGCAGAAGAACAAGGAGGUUUUCAUCUACGGAAACUACAGGAACUACUACGGCUACCGAAUUGAUCGUAACGUUGGUGAAGAUCCCCGCCUUGAGAUAUUCAAGGAGGAGUGGUUUGCAGGCAAGGAUUGUCUCGAUAUUGGAUGCAACCAAGGUUUGGUCACAAUUGGUCUAGCGAUGAAGUUUGUGUGUCGAAGCAUCCUUGGAGUUGACAUUGAUAAAGGUUUGAUUGAAACUGCUAACUGGAAUUUAAGAAGGAUAUCUCGAACAGGCAAGGUGGCUCCGGAAAGUGCCAAGGUUCAUAACUCGUCAGACUCCACAACUCAGAGCUGUCGAGAAGAAGUGGUAUCUGAGAUGCCAAAUGGAGAUAUUCCUAAACACGAACAACCUGAUCUUUUUGAAAUUGUUUCUUUUCGGUCUGAAAAUUUUGUCCAGAGCACACACAGAUAUACAGAACAGUAUGACACCAUCAUGUGUUUGAGCGUGACAAAAUGGAUCCACCUGAACUGGGGUGAUGAUGGCAUAAUCACUUUGUUUGUGAAGAUAUGGAGUCUUCUAAGACCGGGAGGGAUUUUUAUCAUGGAGCCUCAACCUUGGACCUCGUAUAGGAAAAACAGAUUAGUGUCAGAGGUUGCCAAAGAAAACUUCAAUGAUAUCUGUAUAUAUCCUGAGAAAUUCCGGGAGAUACUUCUGGACAAGGUAGGAUUCAGGUCAGCAGAGGUGAUUACCAACAGAUUGGUUGGUUCUGUCGCUGGUUUUGAUCGCCCAAUUGAAGUUUACCACAAAUGAUGGAAUGAGAUUGACACUUGCCUCUUGCCCAGAGGCUCAUGUGAUGCUUCGGGUGCGGAAGUUUGGUUCUGCGGGAUUUGUUGAGCUUCACCGGUGCUUUCUUUGGUACAAAUAUGAUGAUCAAGGUUUCACAUGACGCUAGAUUAGCAGUUUGUGGAAGUGUUCUUUUCAACAAGCGCCCAAGGAAUGAUAUGGAUAGGGAAAUUUUGUCGGGGUUUUGCCUUCCCUAGCUCAAGCUUCACCAGAGCCCACUCCACGAGCAAUCUGCAGAAAAAGCCAUUGAUCACUCACUGUCCGAAGAUACAACCACAUUCCAAAAGCUCCAAGGAUCUUCCAAUAAUAGAAAAGAAGCCCAAAGCAAGAAGAUGCAACCACAUUCCAAAAGCUGAUCUUCCGAAAAUAAAAAAGAAGCCCAAAAGAAGGCACACAUAGCAGAGGUGCAACCAUCUCCAUCCUCUCCCCUGCCCCAAGCCAAGCAAGGAAUCCCUUCUCUCUCCC